rnacentral:tRNA from 1 species
AAUAGCUCAGUGGUAGAGCAUCGGUUUCUUAACUCAAAGGUCGUCGGUUCAAUCCCCGGCUU